rnacentral:rRNA from 1 species
UACGGGGGGAGCAAGCGUUGUUCGGAUUUACUGGGCGUAAAGGGCGCGUAGGCGGCCACCGCAAGUCGGUUGUGAAGUCUCUGGGCUUAACCCAGAAAGGUCAACCGAUACUGCGGGGCUAGAGUGCAGAAGGGGCAACUGGAAUUCUCGGUGUAGCGGUGAAAUGCGUAGAUAUCGAGAGGAACACCUGCGGCGAAGGCGGGUUGCUGGGCUGACACUGACGCUGAUGCGCGAAAGCGUGGGGAGCGAACAGG